UACAGAGGUGGCAAGCGUUGCUCGAUAUCACUGGGCUUAAAGGGCGCGUAGGCGGUGCGGUGCGGUUUCGGUGAAAUCCCUCGGCCCAACCGAGGAACAGCCGGGGCUACGGCCGCGCUAGACGGCAUCAGGGGACAGUGGAACUCCCGGUGGAGCGGUGAAAUGCGUAGAUAUCGGGAGGAACGCCGGUGGCGAAAGCGACUGUCUGGGGUGCCUGUGACGCUGAGGCGCGAAAGCCAGGGGAUCAAACGGG
rnacentral:rRNA from 1 species